CUCAGAUAGGGGUCAUUGUCCACUUGUGUAUCAGGCUGAGAAAUUAACUGUUUGCCUGAGGACACUUUUUGCAAUCUUAUUGUCGUUUUUACAGGCAAUACGAUAAAACGUUAUGAAAUAACUUGUUUGUCCCACAUUGUGGCAAAACGUAUUUUAUUUUAGAACCUAAUUUCACACCAUGUGCCUGCUGACCUUCCAGCUCUGCAGCCGUAACCUAUUUAUGUCCAGCAGGUACACCAGUCUGCAAACUGUACACACUUUUCUCACCUGGGCUGCAGCUGCAUCUCAUCUCCAAUCAAGCCGGUAUUCAAGCCUCUCCUGCUCACACAUUCAGCGGCAGAUUGUACUUCGACGAAUGCGAGACGCUCCAGCCCUUCGGCCCGGACCGAUGGUCUGUUGCCGACCCCGCCUCGGACCUGCUCGUCUCUUCUGAUUCUCCUCUGCCCCGCCACGCUCUACCUUCUGCCUGUCCCCUUCUACUGCUUCGUCUACUUGGACUUUGUGUGCUGCAUUUGGGUCCAAACACGUCCCGUGACAGAGCCAGCAUUUCCCGACACCAGGGUGCUGGAAAUGGCUCCCCUACAUGAAUGGCUUUAAAUGUGUCUCUGAAAAGUUUGUAUCUUGUUCCUUCAGGGAGGUUUGCAAUGUCACCGCAGCAAAGAGUUCUUAUUUUUAUCUGCUAUUUUCUGGAAUAUUUUACACAUUUCUGUUAUUAUAAUUUACUAAUUAUUUGAAUAUUUUACUGACACUUUGUUUGGAUAUAAAAUGUGAUAUUUUACUAAUUUGUUUGGAUAGUUUUCUAACUUUUUGGACACUGUACUUAUCUUUUAGAUAUUUUACCAACAUUUUGUUUUAUCACAAAUGGUGAUUCCAAUGCAAACAGUUAACAUUUCCCAAAUAGUGCAGUUCUCACAGCCACUAUAAUCUGAGUAACAAAUGUAUACAGCUACCUUUUUUUUAAUUGGCUUAAGGGAGUCUGGUAUUUGCCAAGGUUGUGCUUUGUCACGCUUCUUUUAUCUUGUUGAGUGGACUGUUUGGUGACCUCAGCUGCUGCAUGUAAAGCCAACUUGAAAUGAGUCAGAACUUCGAGGUCGAGACGGAAAAUGUUUUGGGAGCAAACGCUUGCCCAUAAGAAGCAAGUAAUCUAUCGCCGGGUCUUCAUACUGAAACUGACAGCAUCCACAGUCUGCUACAUGGACAAGUUAUUAGUUUAAGCUAGGAUGCUAACGGGAAAGUGAUUUUAGUACUUUUGAGAGUUUUGAUUAAACCAAAUAUCAAUAUCGGAGAUAUUUUGAAAUAUGGGCUUUUGUGCACUGAUGUACAAACGGUAUUUGAAGUAAAUGUUUUCUGUUCUGA